rnacentral:lncRNA from 1 species
GCCCUCCCACCAAGACGAGGCGCGCGCACCAGCAACCAGGGCCCGCUGGCGCCGCCCCGGGUUUCCGCUCCGGGGCUCGUCGGUCGCCGUUCGGUUCCGGUUCUGGCCCCGCCCUCACGCGGGAACCCUCCAGAAGUCUUAAUAUCCGGGACCAGAGGCUGGUUGCAGCGCACAUUUCCGGCAACGAGCGCAAAGGAAGGGAUCCGGUGACGCCUCUUCCCGUCUCCCCAGCGGCCCAGGCUCUGGCUCUCGGUGCGGCAGCGCCAUCUGGUGCCGAGUCUCCCGCCACCCGCGGAGGUGGCACGCGCCCUUCUCUCGGAACCUUCCAGAGAAACCGUGGCCCCUGCUUUCCUUUCUCCCGCCCUGGACGGGGAGGGACCCGAGUCUCCGCCCCGCCGAGUUCCCGCGCGGGAGGGACUUUGUGGCGACUCUGAAGCGGAAGCUGCCUGUAGGAGGAGCUUUACAAACCCAAAAUGGAGCGGAAACUGUUCUUUCUCUAGUUUUAAGUCCAGAAGAAACGGCGUCCUUUUAUUUUUUGCUUCCUUAUGCGUUGUUGCUGGGUCAUUCUCAGUCUUCCCCGUAUCAGUUCUUUAAUCUUUGAGGACUGGGACCCUGUAUUAAUUGCCUGCCUGAAUGGGCCUUCGUGAAAAGAAGAAAAAAAAGAUUGAGAACAACUGUCUUAAAACCAUGGUAUUUCCCUAAUAGGCUAGUACCAUGUAUUUGGAUAAUUACUGAUGAAUCAUUUAAAUCAGGGAAAGGUGCAUGGUUUUGUUUUUUUGUUGUUUUUUCUCUUUUUUUUUUUUUUUUUUUUUGAGAUGGAGGCUUGCUCUGUCGCCCAGGCUGGAGUGCAGUGGCCAGAUUUCAGCUCACUGCAAUCUCUGCCUCCCGGGUUCAAGCGAUUCUCCUGCCUCAACCUCCUGAGUAGCUGGGACUACAGGCGUGUGCCACCACACCUGGCUAAUUUUUUUGUUUUAUUUAUUUAUUUAUUUAUUUGAGACGGGGUUUUGCUCUUGUUGCCCAGGCUGGGGUGCAAUGGUGCGAUCUCAGCUCAUCACAACCUCUGCUCCCAGGUUCAAGUGAGUCUUCUGCCUCAGCCUUCCUGAGUAGCUGGGAUUACAGGCAUGUGCCACCAUGCCUGGCUAAAAUUUUGUAUUUUCCUUAGUAGAGAUCAGUUUUCUCCAUGUUGGUCAGGCUGGUCUCGAAUUCCUGACCUCAGGUGAUCCACCCGCCUUGGCCUCUCAAAGUGCUGGGAUUACAGGUGUGAGCCACCGCGCCUGGCCUAAUUUUUUGUAUUUUUAGUAGAGACGGGGUUUCACCGUGUUAGCCAGGAUGAUCUCGAUCUCCUGACCUCGUGAUCCGCCUGCCUCGGCUUCCCAAAGUGCUGGGAUUACAGGCGUGAGCCACUGUGCCUGGCCCGAAAGGUGAAUGUUCUUUGCCUUAUUUUAAACUUUAUUGUAAUAAAUUCACUAAUGAAGCAGGCAGAGAAGAUGUAAAGGACACUUCAUUAGUAAUGCUAUAUUUCAUAUACCUGCUGUAUUUUGGGAGCAUUAUUGCUAUCAUUUGGUUUGUUGGAUCCCUCCAAAUCUCACGUUGAAAUUUGAUCCCCAGUGUUGGAGGUGGGGCUUAAUGGGAGAUGUUUUCAGACAUGGGGGUGGAUCCCUGACACAGGGCUUGAUGCCCUCCUAGUGAUAAUGAGUGAGUUUUCUAUUAGUUGCUGUCAGAGCUGGUUGUUAAGAGCCUGGCACCUCCCUCCUAUCGAUUUUCUUGCUGCUUUGUCUUGCUUCCUCGCUUACCAUGUGAUCUCUGCACAUGCUGGUUCUCCUUCACCUUCACCCACAAGUGGAAACAGCCUGAGGCCCUCACCAGAAAUAGCUGCUGGUACCAUGCUUCUUGUACAGCCUACAGAACUGCUGCAGUGCGGUGGCUCAGUCUCCACUUACUGCAACCUCCACCUCCCGGGCUCAAGUGAUUCUCCUGCCUCAGCUUCCUGAGUAGCUGGGAUUACAGGCAAGAUUAAUGUUUUUUAUUUGUAAUCAAUUUAAGCCUAAUACAUGUUCUAAUAAUUUUUGUAUUUCAUAUAUGGAUAAAUUAUAAUAAUUCUUUUAAAGUGAAAGUAUUGAUGAGAGAUACUUUUUUUUGGAAUAGCUCAUUUUAAGCCCCUGAUACUUGAUAUGGAUAAAAUAUUUUCAGUGUUUAAUAAAAUGUUGAAAUAUAUUUAACUUUACUAAUUUGAGCCCUGCCAAUUAUAAUACUUUAGAAAAAGUGAAAAUAUAAUAGUACAUUUAUAAGGCUUUUAAGUAUUCACAAAAUAGUCAUUUCCCAGUAGAUGUUUUUCAGCUCUUAUGAUACAGUGUUUUCUUUUUCUUUUGGCCAUGUAUUGAUCAGAAUUAGUCAUUAACUUUACUAACAACUGGAUUUAGUUUGUCAGCCUUGAUGGUUUGGUUACACAGAUGUAGCUAUUGUGUCAACCCCACUGUUUUAAAUAUGUUCCUAUGCCAGGUGAAAUUUGAUCCCUUUAAGCAAAUUUCUGUUAAACACUUUGUGUCAGUUUCAGUAACGUUUCCCCAAUGAACAUUCCUACUGUACAAAAUUUUACAUAUGUGUAUUUACAUAUUUAUACUUUUUUCACAAAUGUGGGAAUUUAGGAUACUAUGUUUGUAAAAAUUGGGCAAUUUUUCUUGAAGAUAAUUUUUAAAAUUACAGCAAAACAUAGGGCCCUGAGAAGAAGAGGUAAAAUAUAUGGAAGAGCAAGUAUGUAUAGAUAAUUUUGUAACGUAACCUUGAGAGAAAUAUAGAAAACUGAGACAACAUAAGCCAAAGGAAAGGAAUUGGGAUGUAAAACCUUUAGGGUAGAGCAGUGCUCUGCUGUGGUCAUUUAUGCCUUGGCAUUAAGUUCUUUUGAAUAUAAAACAAUGCAUUUAGAAGGAUUUUAAGACUAUAUCACAGUGCACUGGCAUUUUCUUCUUCAAUUUUCCAGGGCUAAAUAAGGUAAUUGAAUAAUAAAACUUAAAAGCAUUUUUCAUUUCAUGAAGAUCCAAGAAAAAAUAUUUCAUAACAAUUUUUAUUUACAAGAAGGAAAAACAUAUUCAUAAGAAUCUUAGAUGAUUAGUAGGUUAAUGAAAUAAAAAGUUUGUUAGGAAGAAGGAAUACUAGUUAUUGAACAAUGCCAAUUUUUUCUAUUUAAAAAUAUUUAAAAUGCCAUUAGUUGAUUUAUUUAAUGAGCCAUCAGCCUUUAUUUUAGAUUCACUAUAACUCUGAUCUCCUAAACCUGCUUUUCCUAUCAGGUCUUAAAUAUUUCAUCCCUGCUUUCUUUUACAAUAUAGUUUUUGGGAAUGUAACUAUCAUGUUGAUAAGUAAUGCUAGGUGAAGGAAAAAGUUAAAACAACUCCAAUGCUAGGCAGUGAUAUACCAUAGAAAAAUAAAUGAGCCAAAGAUAGGGGAAGUGAUUUUUUUUGGAGGAAGAAAACAGAAAUGAGAACAAGAGGACAUGGAUGACUGCUGAAAAACUGACCAAGUUCCUCUUCAGUCUUCUAACAGAAUUUGGAAGAUGUUCUUAGCAUGCAACUGUUGGUUGAAAAAAACCCAAAUGUACAAGGGCCAUCAGUUCUUAAAAGUGGAAUAGUGCAUAGAAAGCUUAUUGACACAACAUAGCAGUUUGAUGAAAUGGACUGAAGCCAUUUCUGUGGAGUGGACUCGUGGAAAAUGUGAUGCCUGAUUCAUAAAAUUGUACACAGUUGAAUGUUGCUAUAUAGGUAAGGUUUUGCAAACUCAGGACUCUCAGGAAACAUCAAAGGUAUAUAGUUGGCACACUUAAUUUUAGAUAUGUGUGAUACGUUUGUGAUUUUUUUUAAAAAAAUAUUUCCAGGAAUGCUUAAGAAGAUUAUACCACCUCAUGCUAUAAAAUAAAACUAACUUGGAGAAUUCAACAAUGUUUGCUGUUUUAAUAUGCAUCUUACAAAGAUAAUUAUAAACACUGAGAGUAUUUACUGCAAUGCCCUGAAUAUAGUAUGCCUAAAGAAUUUUCUGUAUAAAAAUAAUUGUAUUUAUUUUAGUUAAAAAUUGAGUAAAAUAUACAUGCAUCAAAAUAAUUUCUAGGUAGACCAAAGUGAUAUAUGUAAAGAAAGACAAAAUCAAAAAUCAGGAAAUUGCUGGUGAAUAUCUAAUCUCGG